rnacentral:rRNA from 1 species
UACGGAGGGUGCAAGCGUUGUUCGGAUUUAUUGGGCGUAAAGCGCGUGUAGGCCGUUUCUUAAGUCUGAUGUGAAAGCCCUGGGCUCAACCCAGGAAGUGCAUUGGAUACUGGGAGACUUGAAUACGGGAGAGGGUAGUGGAAUUCCUAGUGUAGGAGUGAAAUCCGUAGAUAUUAGGAGGAACACCGGUGGCGAAGGCGGCUACCUGGACCGAUAUUGACGCUGAGACGCGAAAGCGUGGGGAGCAAACAGG